rnacentral:rRNA from 1 species
AGAGUUUGAUCCUGGCUCAGAUUGAACGCUGGCGGCAUGCUUUACACAUGCAAGUCGAACGGUAACGCGGGGGCAACCUUGGCGACGAGUGGCGAACGGGUGAGUAAUACAUCGGAACGUGCCCAGUAGUGGGGGAUAGCUCGGCGAAAGCCGGAUUAAUACCGCAUACGACCUACGGGUGAAAGCGGGGGACCGUAAGGCCUCGCGCUAUUGGAGCGGCCGAUGGCAGAUUAGCUUGUUGGUGAGGUAAAGGCUUACCAAGGCGACGAUCUGUAGCUGGUCUGAGAGGACGACCAGCCACACUGGGACUGAGACACGGCCCAGACUCCUACGGGAGGCAGCAGUGGGGAAUUUUGGACAAUGGGCGAAAGCCUGAUCCAGCAAUGCCGCGUGUGUGAUGAAGGCCUUCGGGUUGUAAAGCACUUUUGGUAGGAACGAAACGGUCUGGGCUAAUACCCCGGACUAAUGACGGUACCUGCAGAAUAAGCACCGGCUAACUACGUG